rnacentral:rRNA from 1 species
AUAGCGUAUAUUAAAGUUGUUGCAGUUAAAAAGCUCGUAGUUGAACUUCGAACCUGGCUGGGUGGUCUGCCUUCACGGUAUGUACUGCCCGGCCGGGUUCUACCUCUUGGUGAGCCGGCAUGCCCUUUACUGGGUGUGUCGGGGAACCAGGACUUUUACCUUGAGAAAAUUAGAGUGUUCAAAGCAGGCCUUCGCCCGAAUACAUUAGCAUGGCAUAAUAAAAUAGGACGUGCGGUUCUAUUUUGUUGGUUUCUAGAGUCGCCGUAAUGAUUAAUAGGGAUAGUUGGGGGCAUUUAUAUUCCGUUGCUAGAGGUGAAAUUCUUGGAUUUACGGAAGACAAACUACUG